rnacentral:rRNA from 1 species
GAACAGACAAGGAGCUUGCUCCUUUGACGUUAGCGGCGGACGGGUGAGUAGCACGUGGGUAACCUACCUAUAAGACUGGGAUAACUUCGGGAAACCGGAGCUAAUACCGGAUAAUAUUUCGAACCGCAUGGUUCGAUAGUGAAAGAUGGUUUUGCUAUCACUUAUAGAUGGACCCGCGCCGUAUUAGCUAGUUGGUAAGGUAACGGCUUACCAAGGCGACGAUACGUAGCCGACCUGAGAGGGUGAUCGGCCACACUGGAACUGAGACACGGUCCAGACUCCUACGGGAGGCAGCAGUAGGGAAUCUUCCGCAAUGGGCGAAAGCCUGACGGAGCAACGCCGCGUGGGUGAUGAAGGUCUUCGGAUCGUAAAACUCUGUUAUUAGGGAAGAACAUACGUGUAAGUAACUAUGCACGUCUUGACGGUACCUAAUCAGAAAGCCACGGCUAACUACGUGCCAGCAGCCGCGGUAAUACGUAGGUGGCAAGCGUUAUCCGGAAUUAUUGGGCGUAAAGCGCGCGUAGGCGGUUUUUUAAGUCUGAUGUGAAAGCCCACGGCUCAACCGUGGAGGGUCAUUGGAAACUGGAAAACUUGAGUGCAGAAGAGGAAAGUGGAAUUCCAUGUGUAGCGGUGAAAUGCGCAGAGAUAUGGAGGAACACCAGUGGCGAAGGCGACUUUCUGGUCUGUAACUGACGCUGAUGUGCGAAAGCGUGGGGAUCAAACAGG